GACGAACGCUGGCGGCAUGCCUAACACAUGCAAGUCGAACGAAGGCUUCGGCCUUAGUGGCGCACGGGUGAGUAACGCGUGGGAAACUGCCUAUUGGUGGGGAAUAACGACGGGAAACUGUCGCUAAUACCGCAUAAGCCCUUCGGGGGAAAGAUUUAUCGCCGAUAGAUGUGCCCGCGUCCGAUUAGCUAGUUGGUGAGGUAAUGGCUCACCAAGGCGACGAUCGGUAGCUGGUCUGAGAGGAUGAUCAGCCACACUGGGACUGGGACACGGCCCAGACUCUUACGGGAGGCAGCAGUGGGGAAUAUUGGACAAUGGGCGAAAGCCUGAUCCAGCAAUGCCGCUUGAGUGAUGAAGGCCUUAGGGUUGUAAAGCUCUUUCGGGUGGGACGAUGAUGACGGUACCACCAGAAGAAGCCCCGGCUAACUUCGUGCCAGCCGCCGCCGUAA
rnacentral:rRNA from 1 species